rnacentral:rRNA from 1 species
UACGGGAGGCAGCAGUGGGGAAUAUUGCACAAUGGGCGCAAGCCUGAUGCAGCCAUGCCGCGUGUAUGAAGAAGGCCUUCGGGUUGUAAAGUACUUUCAGUCGUGAGGAAGGUGUUAAGGUUAAUAACCUUAGCAAUUGACGUUAGCGACAGAAGAAGCACCGGCUAACUCCGUGCCAGCAGCCGCGGUAAUACGGAGGGUGCGAGCGUUAAUCGGAAUUACUGGGCGUAAAGGGCACGCAGGCGGUUAAUUAAGUUGGAUGUGAAAUCCCCGGGCUUAACCUGGGAAUGGCAUUCAAGACUGGUUAGCUAGAGUCUUGUAGAGGGGGUAGAAUUCCAUGUGUAGCGGUGAAAUGCGUAGAGAUGUGGAGGAAUACCGGUGGGCGAAGGCGGCCCCUGGGACAAAGGCUGACGCUCAUGUGCGAAAGCGUGGGGAGCAAACGAGGGAUUAGAUACC